AUUGAACGCUGGCGGCAGGCCUAACACAUGCAAGUCGAGCGAGCGGCGGACGGGUGAGUAAUGUAUGGGGACUGCCCGCUAGAGGGGGAUAACUACUGGAAACGGUGGCGAAUACCGCAUACUAUCGGAUAACCCAUAUGGGACUAGCGAGUAGGAGGGGUAAAGGCCCACCUAGGCGACGAUCUCUAGCUACUCUGAGAGGAUGAUCAGCCACACUGGGAAUGAGACACGGACCAGACUCCUACGGAGGCUGCAGUGGGGAAUUUUGGACAAUGGAGGAAACCCUUAUCCAGCCAUCCCGGGUGGAUGAUGAAGGCCUUCGGGUUGUAAAGUACUUUUGUCAGAGAAGCGGUAUCUGCAGAAUAAGCACCGGCUAACUACGUGCCAGCAGCCGCGGUAAUUC
rnacentral:rRNA from 1 species